GGACCGUGUAUAAGUCUCCUGGGAUGGGGCGUCAUAGAGGGUGAGAAUCCCGUCUUUGACACGGACUACCAGUGCAUUGUGGUAUGCUCUCAAAGAGUCGAGUUGUUUGGGAAUGCAGCUCAAAAUGGGUGGUAAAUUCCAUCUAAAGCUAAAUAUUGGCGAGAGACCGAUAGCGAACAAGUACCGUGAGGAAAGAUGAAAAGAACUUUGGAAAGAGAGUUAAACAGUACGUGAUUGCUGAAAGGGAAACGCUUGAAGUCAGUCGCGUUGGCUGGAAAUCAGCCUUGCUUUUGCAUGGUGUAUUUUCUGGUUGACGGGUCAGCAUCAAUUUUGACCGCUGGAAAAAGGCCUGGGGAAUGUGGCAGCUUCGGCUGUGUUAUAGCCCCUAGUCACAUACAGUGGUUGGGAUUGAGGAACUCAGCACGCCGCAAGGCCGGGUUUCGACCACGACCGUGCUUAGGAUGCUGGCAUAAUGGCUUUAAGCGACCCGUCUUGAAACACGGACCAAGGAGUCUAACAUGCCUGCGAGUAUUUGGGUGGAAAACUCAAGUGCGUAAUGAAAGUGAAAGUUGAGAUCCCUGUCGUGGGGAGCAUCGACGCCCGGACCAGAACUUUUGGGACGGAUCCGCGGUGGAGCAUGUAUGUUGGGACCCGAAAGAUGGUGAACUAUGCCUGAAUAGGGUGAAGCCAGAGGAAACUCUGGUGGAGGCUCGUAGCGAUUCUGACGUGCAAAUCGAUCGU
rnacentral:rRNA from 1 species